rnacentral:rRNA from 1 species
GACGAACGCUGGCGGCGUGCUUAACACAUGCAAGUCGAACGAUGAAGGAGAGCUUGCUCUCCGGAUUAGUGGCGAACGGGUGAGUAACACGUGACUAACCUGCCCCCUUCUCAUGGAUAACGCUCCGAAAGGAGUGCUAAUACCGGAUACGAACUCUUAACACAUGUUCGGAGUUGGAACGUUUUUCGGAAAGGGUUGGAGUCGCGGCCUAUCAGCUUGUUGGUGAGGAAACGGCUCUCCAAGGCGCCGACGGGUACCCGGACUGAGAGCGCGACCGGCCACACUGGGACUGAGACACGGCCCAGACUCCUACGGGAUGCAGCAGUUGGGAAUAUUGCACCAUUGGCGAAAGCCUGAUGCAGCGCCGCCGCGUGAGGGAUGAAGGUCUUCGGAUUGUAAACCUCUUUCAGUAGGGACGAAGCGAAAGUGACGGUACCUAAAGAAGAAGCACCGGCUAACUACGUGCCAGCAGCCGCGGUAA